GUGCUCACUUUAACAGAACGUACACUAAGAUUGGAAUGAUACAGGGUAGAUUACCGUGGCCUCUGGGCAAGGAUGACGCACACAUUCAUGAUGCAGACAUUUUGUAA
rnacentral:snRNA from 1 species